GCAGAUAUGGCCGAGUGGUUAAGGCGAUGGUCUUAAGAAAAACCUCUUAAGCUCACCAUUAUCGAAAGAUGCAAGGGUUCGAACCCCUUUGUCUGCA
rnacentral:tRNA from 1 species